GUGGCGUGGCGUAGCGUGGCUCGACGUGACGUGACGGGCGACCGGCAAAGCGGCGAAGUAGGGAGGAGACGCCGCGGGCAGCAAGGAGCACGGGCAGUGGAAGCUGGCUCUAAGAGCUCCUCCUCUGCUGCGGCCGUCGCUACGGGCCGAAAAGGAGAACGGAAAGAAGGGAGGGAGCUACCCAGAUUCUCAGGGCUGUGUGCUAACACGGAAAGGAGGGGGCGGGAGGAGUUGGCUGCUUCCAAUAGAGCCCACUCUGGGGCUGGACAAGCACCCCGCCUUCUGAUCCUCCUCCCUCUGCUUUCCUCCUCCCACCUCUUACCCCUAGCCCGAGGCCUGACCCUGAAACCUUCCCAAGCUUGGACUCUAUCGUGGGGCUCCAGACUCCACCCCGAGUCCAAAGUUUUCCAGCAGCCGAUGAUGGCAGAUUUUUUUAAAAGGGCAUCUCAAACCGGAAGGGGUUAUAAUGUGCAAGAAGUAGCCACUAAGUUGUUUUGUGGUGAUGUGUGUUCAAAGGUUACAUCAGACUUUCUUCAGAAAGUGGGGGAAGUGAUCCAGGAAGCAGGAGUCAGAUAUUCGAAGCUCAUUGUCCAUUGGCACAUCUGACUCUUCAUGAUCUUAUUUGGAGUUUUCUUGGCAAGAAUCCUAGAGUGCCUUCUCCAGAUCAUUUUAUAGAUGAGGAAAUGAAACAAACUGGGUUAAGUGCCUUGCUCACACAGCUAGUAAAUGUCUGAGUCCAGAUUUGACUUCAGGAAGAUGAAUCUUCCUGACUUGGGCCUAGCACUCUAUCCACUGUGCCACUUGCUAUUUAGUUACAACUAUGCAACUACUUAGGGACUGAUGGGUCUGCUUCCAAGAUGAACAAUGAAAUUCAAGGUGAACAAGUUAUUACUGUUUGUAUAUGAAGACAGGUAGAGACAAAAGCUUAGUCUUUUGCACUCUCUUGGGUUUGGACUUCUAAAACAAGAUGUGGCAAUGGAAAGCACAGGAACUCUGCCUCAAUCUUUUUGUUGAAGUAAAGAAAAUGAAUCCUUUGUUGUGAAUGUGAGAGAUGGAAGAGGAGUUCCAUGUGAGAAAAGAAAAGAGAGGUCUAGAUUAGAUGGCUGCUAAGGUCCCUUCCAACUCUGAAAUUUUGUGCUUCUGAAGAGCUACUAUGGAGAAUGAUAUAAGGAACCCAUGAGGAAAGAAUUGAGUUUGUUGGUUGAGUAUCAUCAAGGUCCAAGAUGAGACCUGAAGAAAACAUUUAUUUAAAAUAAAAAAUAAACUCUUAAUCCUUUGUUAGUUCA
rnacentral:lncRNA from 1 species